GUAAUUUUCAUAAAGGGCAGAAGCAUCUAUUGCCUGGCUUCUCCUGGCUCUUUUACUAGUGAUAGUGUGGUAUUAGCACUAAAGGAGAUCAGGGAAGGUGGAAGAUACCCCAUACCCCACAGCUGAAGAGGCAGCUUCCUGGGCCUGAACUUCAUCCAGCAACCCAGGUCUCUCUCUUCAUCUUAGGCUAGUUGUGGCUUCUGUUAAGCCUGGGAAGGUUCUGGAGGAAGGGUUGGCUUUGGAAGCACUGGAGGGUAGCUUUGGGGGUCUGCCUAAAUAAGGAGCAAUUUGUUUUCCGGUUAGGCUGAUCCAGAUAGCCUUCAGUCUUGGCAGGGCGGAAGUCACCUCUAUUUGCCCACCCCCCACUACCCAUGACUGUAGUAGCCCAGGAGGGAAAGCCUGGUCCACAAAGAGACUCAAGGAUAGGUCAGGGCAGCUGAGUGAGAAGCGACACUGCUUAGGAACAAGUACCAGGUCAGUCUGUGUGUGUGUGUGUGUGUUCCUUCCAGGUAUAUCCCCAAAAUAGAGGUGGCUUCACACCCACCGGAGCACCUGCUUCCACUGCUGGCUGUGGAAGGAAGGACAGCGGCUGUCCUCAGCUGUGCAAAUGUGUUCACACAGGUCAUACUCCAAGGGAUAUCUGGACUGAGUCUCUGGAGCCAGAUUUCUGCUGCAUGGUCUGACAGUGGCAGGCCCCCAUCCUGAGAAAAGCCAGCUUUGGCCAGACUUGCCCACCACCAUGUCUGCCCCACAACGGGUUCCUAGUAAGAAAAACCCACAACCACAGGACACACCGGUCUUGUUCUGGAGCUCUGCCUUCUACACCCAGUAGAAAGACUCCUUCCUGGGAAGAAACCAGUAAGGCGAGACAAACGCUUUACACUUUCUCCCUGAUUGCUGAUUUCUGGGGAGAAUUGAGCCCUUAGCCUGGUUACCUGUAAUGUUUAUAAACCAAAUAAAAUGCCUCUCAAAGUUC